rnacentral:lncRNA from 1 species
UCUGUUCAACAUUGGAUCAAUUUGAGGGAUCUUUUGCGGGAUUGUAGAGCGGCACAUUGCCAGUGGCACAUACCUAGUUACCUCAAGGUGGCGUCAAAGAGGUU